CGGCAGGCUUAACACAUGCAAGUCGAGGGGCAUCGGGGAGGAAGCUUGCUUUCUCCGCCGGCGACCGGCGCACGGGUGAGUAACACGUAUGCAACCUGCCCCUGUCAGGGGGACAACCCGCCGAAAGGCGGGCUAAACCCGCGUACAUGCCACCGGGGCAUCCCGGAGGCAGGAAAGGCUUCGGCCGGACAGGGAUGGGCAUGCGGCGCAUUAGGCAGUAGGCGGGGUAACGGCCCACCUAACCGACGAUGCGUAGGGGUUCUGAGAGGAAGGUCCCCCACACUGGUACUGAGACACGGACCAGACUCCUACGGGAGGCAGCAGUGAGGAAUAUUGGUCAAUGGUCGGGAGACUGAACCAGCCAAGCCGCGUGAGGGAGGAAGGUACAGAGUAUCGUAAACCUCUUUUGUCAGGGAACAAAGGCGGGGACGUGUCCCCGGAUGAGUGUACCUGAAGAAAAAGCAUCGGCUAACUCCGUGCCAGCAGCCGCGGUAAUACGGAGGAUGCGAGCGUUAUCCGGAUUUAUUGGGUUUAAAGGGUGCGCAGGCGGUCUGUUAAGUCAGCGGUCAAAGCCCGGGGCUCAACCCCGGCCUGCCGUUGAAACUGGCAGUCUCGAGUUGGAGAGAAGUAUGCGGAAUGCGCGGUGUAGCGGUGAAAUGCAUAGAUAUCGCGCAGAACUCCGAUUGCGAAGGCAGCAUGCCGGCUCCACACUGACGCUGAGGCACGAAAGCGUGGGUAUCGAACAGGAUUAGAUACCCUGGUAGUCCACGCAGUAAACGAUGAAUGCUGGCUGUCCGGGGGGAUUGACCCCUGGGUGGCGAAGCGAAAGCGAUAAGCAUUCCACCUGGGGAGUACGCCGGCAACGGUGAAACUCAAAGGAAUUGACGGGGGCCCGCACAAGCGGAGGAACAUGUGGUUUAAUUCGAUGAUACGCGAGGAACCUUACCCGGGCUCAAACGGGGAGUGACUCAGGCAGAGACGCCUGUUUCCCACGGGACACUCCCCGAGGUGCUGCAUGGUUGUCGUCAGCUCGUGCCGUGAGGUGUCGGCUUAAGUGCCAUAACGAGCGCAACCCCCGCGUGCAGUUGCUAACAGAUAACGCUGAGGACUCUGCACGGACUGCCGGCGCAAGCCGCGAGGAAGGCGGGGAUGACGUCAAAUCAGCACGGCCCUUACGUCCGGGGCGACACACGUGUUACAAUGGGUGGUACAGCGGGAAGCCAGGCGGCGACGCCGAGCGGAACCCGAAAUCCACUCUCAGUUCGGAUCGGAGUCUGCAACCCGACUCCGUGAAGCUGGAUUCGCUAGUAAUCGCGCAUCAGCCAUGGCGCGGUGAAUACGUUCCCGGGC
rnacentral:rRNA from 1 species